CGUAGGGACCAAGCGUUGUUCGGAUUUACUGGGCGUAAAGGGCGCGUAGGCGGCAAUUCAAGUCAUCUGUGAAAUCUCCGGGCUUAACCCGGAACGGUCAGAUGAUACUGCUUUGCUAGAGUGCGGAAGGGGCAAUCGGAAUUCUUGGUGUAGCGGUGAAAUGCGUAGAUAUCAAGAGGAACACCUGAGGUGAAGACGGGUUGCUGGGCCGACACUGACGCUGAUAGCGCGAAAGCCAGGGGAGCAAACGGGGUUAGAUACCCCGGUAGUCCUGGCCCUAAACGAUGAAUACUUGGUGUCUGGAGUUAUUAGUGCUCCGGGUGCCGUCGCUAACGUUUUUAGUAUUCCGCCUGGGGAGUACGCUCGCAAGAGUG
rnacentral:rRNA from 1 species